GGAUGUGAGAGUGAUCUGGCUGGCUAAACAGGUGUCCCCUUCCCCCCUCACCACUCUAUGUGUGUCCCUUUCGAAGAUCACACUAGGUCAAAAAGGAAAACUUUCCCCCAUAGAGGAAGGAAGUUCUUGGGUCAAGGGUAUAGGAGUAGCUGUACUCCCUGCUAGAACCUCCAAACCAGCUCUCAACGUCCGUUUGUAAGAGAACGUAGGAUAGUCAAGCUUCUAAGACUCCAGAUACAUCCAAAUGAGACACUACAGGUGGCAGUAUGCCUUUCUUU
rnacentral:snRNA from 1 species